CAAAGACAUACAGUGUACAACCACUGGAACUUCUUGUAGACUGAUGUAAAGUUGGAGUAAGCACAGGGCUUGCCUUCUGGAGUGCUAUGAGUCAUAACAUGUUCCUGUACUGGGAAAGUGGAAUUCCCUUCUUUGGUGUCAACAGAAAGUUUGGCAAGAGACAGCUCAGGUUCUGUCUGACAUUAGUAAAAGAAACAUUGGACAUUCUACUAGACUGGUGA
rnacentral:lncRNA from 1 species